CUUUUUUCUAUACAUUCAUUUUGUUAUGAAAUAUUACAUAGAUUAAUCUGUUAUAAAGAGGUUCCAUAAACAGUCCAGGUUCAACACAUUGAUGUUCUUAAACAGCUUCUGUCUGGAUUUACCCAAACUCACUCAAAUUUGGGAUUAAGCUUUGUAAACUUAUCAAGAAACUAAAGACCAUAUAUGACAUGGGGCUCUUGCAAGAGAUAAGCCUACACCAGUGAAACCUGGUUAAAGGGUAUACAAUUUCGAUUUAAUAUAUCUGUAUAUAUUUAUAUAUAUGUAUAUAUCUAGAAUACAUGCUAUUAAUAAUAAUAUAGAAUACAAUGCAUAUUCAUAUACAUUCACAUUAUAUAAGAAGCCAAGAUUUCUCCCAACUUUAUGUGAACGAUUUGCUUAUGAUAAUGUUUUAUCCACUAUUGGUUUUUUUUUCCCCCAUACCAAUUUAAGUAUAGACUUUAAUGGUAUCUGAUAAAAAAAAUAAUAAUAUUGGAGGUACUGGUUGGAUGAAAGGUCGAUUCAUUGGGGUGAACAAAUCUGUUAAUAGUGGUAAAUUGCUUAUAAAUAAAAUGUGAGAAUUUUGCUUUAGAGCUGCGAUUCUUAAAUCAAACCUGGAAAAUUGCCAAAACACCAGGAUUUAGGGAUUGUACCAUUAUAUAUUAUGAGGAUAUUGAUCAAAUCCAGAAUUGUAAUAUCAAUAAAACCUGGCCUGUAAGUUCUCCUUUAGGACUGGCUUGAGAAUCGCUGGUCUAGAGCAUCCAGUUUAAGAAAAUAGUUGACUUGUUCUGUUACAUGAAACUAUGUGUCUAAGACUCUGUACUACAAUGUGAGUGGCUGAGUGCUUUCCUUAUAAAUUGUCCUUUGUCUCAAUAUAAAGCAACACUCACAUGCAAAUUUAUAGAACCGUAUCUUGAGAAAUUCGAUAACACUUGACCCUAAUAACUAGCCCUAUAAUAUCUCUGACUUUUAACUUAUUAGGGACCACGAGCAAUAAAUAUAAUCAUGAAAAUGAACUCCUAAAAUCUGUAUUCCAUCGUGGCAUGUCCUACUAAUUUAUCAAAACAGACCUUUACUGACCAUCUAAUGCUAAAUGGGCAGAACAUACCACAUCCAUAAGGAUUAAACUAUUAUGGCAUACACCGUUAUUGGCCCUUAGUGGGUUAUUCACUUUAAAGUCAUUGUCCCAAAUUCAUCAGAUAUAUUUAUAUCAUACAUAUUAAAGAGUUCAUGCAAGUUGGACAUUGCGAAAUCUUAGCAUCCAUCCAAAAUGUUUGGUUUGUUAUUAAUCAAAUAAAUUUUUCACUUUGUUAUAAACCAGUUGUUCCUAAAUCCAUACUUUCAAUUUCCAAUAUCAAACAGGUUAGAGCAAGUAAAGACAUUAUUAGCUGCACACUUAGCGUAUUGUUAAGUAAACCCAAUCAAGGUUAACAUUCCUUGGUACACAUGAUGCAAAAGAGCCCAGUUGCUGGAAAUGUAUUGCAGAAAGGCACAAAAGACGAGAUGAUGUUGCUGUAUUGCUGUUUAGAAGAUGCUCCUUCAUCUCUUUGGCAGUUCAUGAUUUCUGUCCUUUACUUGUUACAUUCCUGAUUGCUGAAAUGCUAAGCUUUACAAAUAAUGCUUAUGUACUAAUGCUAUAAUUUCUCUAACUUGGAAUUGGAUUCAGUAUGUAGUGGCUGUACCAAAGAAUUCUGAGAUUAAAAUUCCUACCAAUAUGUAAUAUCCAGUCCAGAGAGCAAGAAGAAGAUGGUAUUUUACACUGACUAGUUCUAGGGUACAUUUUGGGGUAUAUUUAGCAAGGUACAGUACAAAGUUUAUCAGGCGUGUUUGGUAAAAAUAAUUGUGGCAGUUUGUUAUACCGUUUACAGACAAUAUAAUAAAACAACAAACUAAAAGACCCUUGCUGAAAUAAAUAGGCGUAGGUAGCUAUGUUAAAGGGACACUAUAGGCACCCAGGGCACUUCAGCUCAUUGACGUGGUCUUGGUGCACUUACCCUGUCUUUUUAACCCUGGAAUUGUAAUUAUUACAGUUAUUGAGAAACUGCAAUAAUUAACUUGCAGGGUUAACUCUACCUCUAGUGGCUGUCUACCAGACAACCACAAGAGGCGCUUCAGGGUGGUUAGACGACUUUAGGCUCGCCGUCCAUAUGCAUUAGGUUGCCUCCGCCUGCUGACGUCGGCAGGGGAGAAGCGGAGGUGGAGCCUGACCCAGCACCAAGUGAGAUUGGCGCUGGAUUCAGGUAAGUGACAAAAGGGUUUUUAACCCUUUCAUUACUAGGUGGAGGGGAGAGGGCUGCAAGCAAGAGGGACACUAUAGACAACUUUGUAUUCCUAGCAUUACAGUUUCCCUUUAACUGUAAGUAAUAAGAUCAACUUUGGAGGGUACUGAGAUUUUAACAUCUAGAUCAGAGGUUCCCAAACUGUGUGCCGCAAGCUAUUUUCAUGGUGCUAUGAUCAUAUUAGCGGGAACUGUGCUCUCCCCAGAGAUCUCCCUCUCCGGCCCGCUAGCACUUUGCUGGCAGCCGACAGGGAGGGAGGGAGAGAGGACUCGGGGGUGCUCUAACCUGCAGCUCCGCCGGGCUCUCCUCUUGUUAGCUCGGAGCGUUGGCGUGGUUAUCACGGCAUCACUCCGAAUCUCGCGAGAGUGAGCUCUAGCAGCUCCUGAGGCUGCUAGAGUUCACUGUCACCACCAGGUCCACCAGGGAUUGCAGGAAAUGCCCCCCCUCCUAGGCAAAUAUAAACAGGGAGGGGGGGG
rnacentral:lncRNA from 1 species